AUGCUCGCUUCAGCAGCACAUGUACUAAAAUUGGAAUGAUACAGAAAAGAUUAGCAUGGCCCCUGCACAAGGAUGACACACAAAUUAGUGAAGCGUUCCAUAUUUUU
rnacentral:snRNA from 1 species